GGUUAAGCGACUAAGCGUACACGGUGGAUGCCCUGGCAGUCAGAGGCGAUGAAGGACGUGCUAAUCUGCGAAAAGCGUCGGUAAGGUGAUAUGAACCGUUAUAACCGGCGAUGUCCGAAUGGGGAAACCCAGUGCAAUUCGUUGCACUAUCGUUAACUGAAUACAUAGGUUAACGAGGCGAACCGGGGGAACUGAAACAUCUAAGUACCCCGAGGAAAAGAAAUCAACCGAGAUUCCCCCAGUAGCGGCGAGCGAACGGGGAGCAGCCCAGAGUCUGAAUCAGCUUGUGUGUUAGUGGAACGGUCUGGAAAGUCCGACGGUACAGGGUGAUAGUCCCGUACACCAAAAUGCACAGGUUGUGAACUCGAAGAGUAGGGCGGGACACGUGGUAUCCUGUCUGAAUAUGGGGGGACCAUCCUCCAAGGCUAAAUACUCCUGACUGACCGAUAGUGAACCAGUACCGUGAGGGAAAGGCGAAAAGAACCCCGGCGAGGGGAGUGAAAAAGAACCUGAAACCGUGUACGUACAAGCAGUGGGAGCACCUUCGGGUGUGACUGCGUACCUUUUGUAUAAUGGGUCAGCGACUUAUAUUCUGUAGCAAGGUUAACCGUAUAGGGGAGCCGCAGGGAAACCGAGUCUUAACUGGGCGUUAAGUUGCAGGGUAUAGACCCGAAACCCGGUGAUCUAGCCAUGGGCAGGUUGAAGGUUGGGUAACACUAACUGGAGGACCGAACCGACUAAUGUUGAAAAAUUAGCGGAUGACUUGUGGCUGGGGGUGAAAGGCCAAUCAAACCGGGAGAUAGCUGGUUCUCCCCGAAAGCUAUUUAGGUAGCGCCUCGUGAACUCAUCUUCGGGGGUAGAGCACUGUUUCGGCUAGGGGGUCAUCCCGACUUACCAACCCGAUGCAAACUACGAAUACCGAAGAAUGUUAUCACGGGAGACACACGGCGGGUGCUAACGUCCGUCGUGAAGAGGGAAACAACCCAGACCGCCAGCUAAGGUCCCAAAGUCAUGGUUAAGUGGGAAACGAUGUGGGAAGGCACAGACAGCCAGGAUGUUGGCUUAGAAGCAGCCAUCAUUUAAAGAAAGCGUAAUAGCUCACUGGUCGAGUCGGCCUGCGCGGAAGAUGUAACGGGGCUAAACCAUGCACCGAAGCUGCGGCAGCGACACUAUGUGUUGUUGGGUAGGGGAGCGUUCUGUAAGCCUGCGAAGGUGUGCUGUGAGGCAUGCUGGAGGUAUCAGAAGUGCGAAUGCUGACAUAAGUAACGAUAAAGCGGGUGAAAAGCCCGCUCGCCGGAAGACCAAGGGUUCCUGUCCAACGUUAAUCGGGGCAGGGUGAGUCGACCCCUAAGGCGAGGCCGAAAGGCGUAGUCGAUGGGAAACAGGUUAAUAUUCCUGUACUUGGUGUUACUGCGAAGGGGGGACGGAGAAGGCUAUGUUAGCCGGGCGACGGUUGUCCCGGUUUAAGCAUGUAGGCUGGUUAUCCAGGCAAAUCCGGAUAAUCAAGGCUGAGGUGUGAUGACGAGGCACUACGGUGCUGAAGUAACAAAUGCCCUGCUUCCAGGAAAAGCCUCUAAGCAUCAGGUAACAUCAAAUCGUACCCCAAACCGACACAGGUGGUCAGGUAGAGAAUACCAAGGCGCUUGAGAGAACUCGGGUGAAGGAACUAGGCAAAAUGGUGCCGUAACUUCGGGAGAAGGCACGCUGGUGUGUAGGUGAAGUCCCUGCGGAUGGAGCUGAGACCAGUCGAAGAUACCAGCUGGCUGCAACUGUUUAUUAAAAACACAGCACUGUGCAAACACGAAAGUGGACGUAUACGGUGUGACGCCUGCCCGGUGCCGGAAGGUUAAUUGAUGGGGUUAUCCGUAAGGAGAAGCUCUUGAUCGAAGCCCCGGUAAACGGCGGCCGUAACUAUAACGGUCCUAAGGUAGCGAAAUUCCUUGUCGGGUAAGUUCCGACCUGCACGAAUGGCGUAAUGAUGGCCAGGCUGUCUCCACCCGAGACUCAGUGAAAUUGAACUCGCUGUGAAGAUGCAGUGUACCCGCGGCAAGACGGAAAGACCCCGUGAACCUUUACUAUAGCUUGACACUGAACAUUGAGCCUUGAUGUGUAGGAUAGGUGGGAGGCUUUGAAGCGUGGACGCCAGUCUGCGUGGAGCCAACCUUGAAAUACCACCCUUUAAUGUUUGAUGUUCUAACGUUGGCCCCUGACCGGGGUUGCGGACAGUGUCUGGUGGGUAGUUUGACUGGGGCGGUCUCCUCCCAAAGCGUAACGGAGGAGCACGAAGGUUAGCUAAUCCUGGUCGGACAUCAGGAGGUUAGUGCAAUGGCAUAAGCUAGCUUGACUGCGAGCGUGACGGCGCGAGCAGGUGCGAAAGCAGGUCAUAGUGAUCCGGUGGUUCUGAAUGGAAGGGCCAUCGCUCAACGGAUAAAAGGUACUCCGGGGAUAACAGGCUGAUACCGCCCAAGAGUUCAUAUCGACGGCGGUGUUUGGCACCUCGAUGUCGGCUCAUCACAUCCUGGGGCUGAAGUAGGUCCCAAGGGUAUGGCUGUUCGCCAUUUAAAGUGGUACGCGAGCUGGGUUUAGAACGUCGUGAGACAGUUCGGUCCCUAUCUGCCGUGGGCGCUGGAGAAUUGAGGGGGGCUGCUCCUAGUACGAGAGGACCGGAGUGGACGCAUCACUGGUGUUCGGGUUGUCAUGCCAAUGGCACUGCCCGGUAGCUAAAUGCGGAAGAGAUAAGUGCUGAAAGCAUCUAAGCACGAAACUUGCCCCGAGAUGAGUUCUCCCUGAGACUUUAAGUCUCCUGAAGGAACGUUGAAGACGACGACGUUGAUAGGCCGGGUGUGUAAGCGCAGCGAUGCGUUGAGCUAACCGGUACUAAUGAACCGUGAGGCUUAACCUU
rnacentral:rRNA from 3 species